CCUACGGGGUGCAGCAGUAGGGAAUAUUGCUCAAUGGGGGAAACCCUGAAGCAGCAACGCCGCGUGAGGGAAGACGGCCCUAUGGGUUGUAAACCUCUUUUGUCGGAGAACAAAACCCGGGACGUGUCCCGGACUGCGUGUAUCCGAAGAAAAAGCAUCGGCUAACUCCGUGCCAGCCGCCGCGGUAAUACGGAGGAUGCGAGGGUUAUCCGGAUUUAUUGGGUUAAAAGGGUGCGUAGGCGGUCCGUACAGUCAGCGGUAAAAUUGCGGGGCUCAACCCCGUCGAGCCGUUGAAACUGGCAGACUUGAGUUGGCGAGAGGUACGCGGAAUGCGCGGUGUAGCGGUGAAAUGCAUAGAUAUCGCGCAGAACUCCGAUUGCGAAGGCAGCGUACCGGCGCCAGACUGACGCUGAGGCACGAAAGCGUGGGGAUCGAACAGGAUUAGAUACCACUGUAGUC
rnacentral:rRNA from 1 species